rnacentral:rRNA from 1 species
GAUGAACGCUGGCGGCGUGCCUAAUACAUGCAAGUCGAGCGAACAGACGAGGAGCUUGCUCCUCUGACGUUAGCGGCGGACGGGUGAGUAACACGUGGAUAACCUACCUAUAAGACUGGGAUAACUUCGGGAAACCGGAGCUAAUACCGGAUAAUAUAUAGAACCGCAUGGUUCAAUAGUGAAAGACGGUUUUGCUGUCACUUAUAGAUGGAUCCCCGCCGCAUUAGCUAGUUGGUAAGUUAACGGCUUACCAAGGCAACGAUGCGUAGCCGACCUGAGAGGGUGAUAGGCCACACUGGAACUGAGACACGGUCCAGACUCCUACGGGAGGCAGCAGUAGGGAAUCUUCCGCAAAGGGCGAAAGCCUGACGGAGCAACGCCGCGUGAGUGAUGAAGGUCUUCGGAUCGUAAAACUCUGUUAUUAGGGAAGAACAAAUGUGUAAGUAACUAUGCACGUCUUGACGGUACCUAAUCAGAAAGCCACGGCUAACUACGUG